AUUGAACGCUGGCGGCAUGCCUUACACACGCAAGUCGAACGGCAGCGCGGACUUCGGUCUGGCGGCGAGUGGCGAACGGGUGAGUAAUACAUCGGAACGUACCCUGUUGUGGGGGAUAACUAGUCGAAAGAUUAGCUAAUACCGCAUACGACCUGAGGGUGAAAGUGGGGGACCGCAAGGCCUCACGCAGCAGGAGCGGCCGAUGUCUGAUUAGCUAGUUGGUGGGGUAAAGGCCCACCAAGGCGACGAUCAGUAGCUGGUCUGAGAGGACGAUCAGCAACACUGGGACUGAGACACGGCCCAGACUCCUACGGGGGGCAGCAGUGGGGAAUUUUGGAAAAUGGGGGCAACCCUGAUCCAGCAAUGCCGCGUGUGUGAAGAAGGCCUUCGGGUUGUAAAGCACUUUUGUCCGGAAAGAAAUCGCGCUGGUUAAUACCUGGCGUGGAUGACGGUACCGGAAGAAUAAGCACCGGCUAACUACGUGCCAGCAGCCGCCGUAA
rnacentral:rRNA from 1 species